GACGAACGCUGGCGGCGUGCUUAACACAUGCAAGUCGAACGGAAAGGCCCUGCUUUUGUGGGCUGCUCGAGUGGCGAACGGGUGAGUAACACGUGAGUAACCUGCCCUUGACUUUGGGAUAACUUCAGGAAGCUGGGGCUAAUACCGGAUAGGAGCUCCUGCUGCAUGGUGGGGGUUGGAAAGUUUCGGCGGUUGGGGAUGGACUCGCCGCUUAUCAGCUUGUUGGUGGGGUAGUGGCAUACCAAGGCCUUGACGGGUAGCCGGCCUGCGAGGGUGAGCGGCCACACUGGGCCGGGGAUACGGCCCAGACUCCUACGGGAGGGAGGAGUGGGGAAUAGUGCACAAGGGGCGGAAGCCUGAUGCAGCAAAGCCGCGUGCGGGAUGACGGCCAGCGGGUUGGAAAGCGCUUCCGCCUGUGACGAAGCGUGAGUGACGGUAAUGGGUAAAGAAGCACCGGCUAACUACGUG
rnacentral:rRNA from 1 species